GUGCGUUAACACAUGCAGUCGUACGAGAAAGCCGAAUUUCGGUUUGGCGAGUAAAGUGGCGCACGGGUGAGUAACGCGUAGGUGACCUGCCCUUGUGUUUGGGAUAACAGAGCGAAAGCUCUGCUAAUACCGGAUACGAUCUUUCCUUUGGGGGAGAAGAAAGUCAGCCGCUCGAAGAAGCUGGCGCACGAGGAGGGGCCUGCGUCCUAUCAGCUAGUUGGUAGGGUAACGGCCUACCAAGGCGACGACGGGUAGCUGGUCUGAGAGGAUGAUCAGCCACACUGGCACUGGAACACGGGCCAGACUCCUACGGGAGGCAGCAGUGAGGAAUUUUGCGCAAUGGGAGCAAUCCUGACGCAGCAACGCCGCGUGGGUGAUGAAGGCCUUCGGGUCGUAAAGCCCUGUCAGGUGGGAAGAACGUCUUGGGGAUGAAUAAGCUCUGAGAGUGACGGUACCACCAGAGGAAGCACCGGCUAACUCCGUGCCAGCAGCCGCGGUAAUACGGAGGGCGCGAGCGUUAUUCGGAAUUACUGGGCGUAAAGCGCGUGUAGGCGGGGAGGCAAGUCUGAUGUGAAAGCCCCGGGCUUAACCUGGGAAGUGCAUUGGAAACUGCUUUUCUUGAGUGCUGGAGAGGAAGGGGGAAUUCCCGGUGUAGAGGUGAAAUUCGUAGAGAUCGGGAGGAAUACCAGUGGCGAAGGCGCCCUUCUGGACGGCAACUGACGCUGAGACGCGAAAGCGUGGGGAGCAAACAGGAUUAGAUACCCUGGUAGUCCACGCCCUAAACGAUGUCAACUAGGUGUUGGGGGAGGAGACUUCCUUAGUACCGCAGCUAACGCGUGAAGUUGACCGCCUGGGGAGUACGGUCGCAAGAUUA
rnacentral:rRNA from 1 species